rnacentral:rRNA from 1 species
AGCGAACGCUGGCGGCAGGCUUAACACAUGCAAGUCGAGCGGGCGUAGCAAUACGUCAGCGGCAGACGGGUGAGUAACGCGUGGGAACGUACCUUUUGGUUCGGAACAACUGAGGGAAACUUCAGCUAAUACCGGAUAAGCCCUUACGGGGAAAGAUUUAUCGCCGAAAGAUCGGCCCGCGUCUGAUUAGCUAGUUGGUGAGGUAACGGCUCACCAAGGCGACGAUCAGUAGCUGGUCUGAGAGGAUGAUCAGCCACAUUGGGACUGAGACACGGCCCAAACUCCUACGGGAGGCAGCAGUGGGGAAUAUUGGACAAUGGGCGAAAGCCUGAUCCAGCCAUGCCGCGUGAGUGAUGAAGGCCCUAGGGUUGUAAAGCUCUUUUGUGCGGGAAGAUAAUGACGGUACGCAAGAAUAAGCCCCGGCUAACUUCGUGCCAGCAGCCGC